CAAAAAUGCACAUAUUGUGAGCUCGAUGAGUAGGGCGGGACACGUGGUAUCCUGUCUGAAUAUGGGGGGCCCAUCCUCCAAGGCUAAAUACUCCUGACUGACCGAUAGUGAACCAGUACCGUGAGGGAAAGGCGAAAAGAACCCCGGCGAGGGGAGUGAAAAAGAACCUGAAACCGUGUACGUACAAGCAGUGGGAGCACGCUUAGGCGUGUGACUGCGUACCUUUUGUAUAAUGGGUCAGCGACUUAUAUUCUGUAGCAAGGUUAACCGAAUAGGGGAGCCGAAGGGAAACCGAGUCUUAACUGGGCGUUAAGUUGCAGGGUAUAGACCCGAAACCCGGUGAUCUAGCCAUGGGCAGGUUGAAGGUUGGGUAACACUAACUGGAGGACCGAACCGACUAAUGUUGAAAAAUUAGCGGAUGACUUGUGGCUGGGGGUGAAAGGCCAAUCAAACCGGGAGAUAGCUGGUUCUCCCCGAAAGCUAUUUAGGUAGCGCCUCGUGAAUUCAUCUCCGGGGGUAGAGCACUGUUUCGGCAAGGGGGUCAUCCCGACUUACCAACCCGAUGCAAACUGCGAAUACCGGAGAAUGUUAUCACGGGAGACACACGGCGGGUGCUAACGUCCGUCGUGAAGAGGGAAACAACCCAGACCGCCAGCUAAGGUCCCAAAGUCAUGGUUAAGUGGGAAACGAUGUGGGAAGGCCCAGACAGCCAGGAUGUUGGCUUAGAAGCAGCCAUCAUUUAAAGAAAGCGUAAUAGCUCACUGGUCGAGUCGGCCUGCGCGGAAGAUGUAACGGGGCUAAACCAUGCACCGAAGCUGCGGCAGCGACGCUUAUGCGUUGUUGGGUAGGGGAGCGUUCUGUAAGCCUGCGAAGGUGUGCUGUGAGGCAUGCUGGAGGUAUCAGAAGUGCGAAUGCUGACAUAAGUAACGAUAAAGCGGGUGAAAAGCCCGCUCGCCGGAAGACCAAGGGUUCCUGUCCAACGUUAAUCGGGGCAGGGUGAGUCGACCCCUAAGGCGAGGCCGAAAGGCGUAGUCGAUGGGAAACAG
rnacentral:rRNA from 1 species